GACGAACGCUGGCGGCGUGCUUAACACAUGCAAGUCGAACGGAAAGGCCCUGCUUUUGUGGGGUGCUCGAGUGGCGAACGGGUGAGUAACACGUGAGUAACCUGCCCUUGACUUUGGGAUAACUUCAGGAAACUGGGGCUAAUACCGGAUAGGAUCUCCUGCUGCAUGGUGGGGGUUGGAAAGUUUCGGCGGUUGGGGAUGGACUCGCGGCUUAUCAGCUUGUUGGUUGGGUAGUGGCUUACCAAGGCUUUGACGGGUAGCCGGCCUGAGAGGGUGACCGGCCACAUUGGGACUGAGAUACGGCCCAGACUCCUACGGGAGGCAGCAGUGGGGAAUAUUGCACAAUGGGCGGAAGCCUGAUGCAGCAACGCCGCGUGCGGGAUGACGGCCUUCGGGUUGAGAACCGCUUUCGCCUGUGACGAAGCGUGAGUGACGGUAAUGGGUAAAGAAGCACCGGCUAACUACGUG
rnacentral:rRNA from 1 species